UUCCUUUGCAAUUGAUUAGUUUAAUAUUUUAUCAAACUGUUGAGAGAAGAAUUUUAGAAAGAUUUUCACAAUUUUGAUAUAGUGACUACACCAAGGUAUGCCGUCUCGGUACCGAGCCUUAUACCACUGCCAUGCUAUCACUGUGUCGGUACGGUAGGGAGCCGAUUUGGCUUUCUGAGUGUCGAUACAUCUCCAUACCAUAUACUAAUACUGAAUUGGUACAGUACGGUAUGCCCCAUACUAUCCGCAUUGGUACGGUAUAUAGAUUAUAAUUUUUAAAGCUGUUGCAUACAACAUAUUCUUCACUUUCUUUUUAUUUUCUUCCCUUUGUGCUCUCCACUUUUCAUCCUUUGUCAACAUCCUAUCCUUUCCAGCACUCUGUUCAAGAAAACAAUAAUUUUCCUUUCAUAUGUUUAAUUAUGACUACUUUGAAAAUGGAGGUUGCGCUUAUCACCAUCACUUCAUUCGAAUAUCUUUGGUAUUUUGAAAAGGUUGCACUUAUCAUAUUUCUUUUUAUAUCAUCAGUUUUCCCAGGUGUCACCAAGGACCCCUGUUCCUUGGUCAUGUUUAGAAAGUCAAUUCUUUUAGUCUAAAGCUGUGCCUAACUGCCUAUAAACUGAAAAGAUAUAAUAUUUUUUAAACUUUUUCUAUCAAAGCAUUCAUUUUCUUUUUCAUUCCAAAUGUGGUGUGGAUGCUCUAUUGGGUGCACUUUUUGAUAUUUUGACUAAUUUUCGUAGGAAGGG
rnacentral:lncRNA from 1 species